AUACACCGGCGUACGGGUGCGUAACGCGUAUGGAACCUGCCCUUAUCUGGGGGAUAACUCGGGGAAACUCGAGCUAAUACCGCAUAAGAUAGUAGAAUGGCAUCAUUCAGCUAUUAAAGAUUUAUUGGAUAAGGAUGGCCAUGCGUAAGAUUAGAUAGUUGGCGAGGUAACGGCUCACCAAGUCUACGAUCUUUAGGGGCUCUGAGAGGAGAAUCCCCCACACUGGCACUGAGAUACGGGCCAGACUCCUACGGGAGGCAGCAGUAGGGAAUAUUGGGCAAUGGGCGGAAGCCUGACCCAGCCACGCCGCGUGCAGGAAGACGGCCCUCUGGGUUGUAAACUGCUUUUAACUGGGAAGAAAGCAGCUCAUGCGUGAGAAUUUGACGGUACCAGUUGAAUAAGCCACGGCUAACUACGUGCCAGCAGCCGCGGUAAUACGUAGGUGGCGAGCGUUAUCCGGAUUUAUUGGGUUUAAAGGGAGCGUAGGCGGCUGAUUAAGUCAGCGGUGAAAGAUAGCAGCUUAACUGUUUUACAUGCCGUUGAUACUGGUUAGCUUGAGUUGACAGAAGGCAGAUAGAAUUCCUGAUGUAGCGGUGAAAUGCUUAGAUAUCAGGAGGAAUACCGAUUGCGAAGGCAGUCUGCUGCAGUCACACUGACGCUGAGGCUCGAAGGUGCGGGGAUCAAACAGGAUUAGAUACCCUGGUAGUCCGCACAGUAAACGAUGAUUACUAGAUGUUGGCGAUGCCAGUGUCCAAGGGAAACCGAUAAGUAAUCCACCUGGGGAGUACGC
rnacentral:rRNA from 1 species